rnacentral:sRNA from 1 species
ACCGCACGCUCGGACGCUGCGAAUGGCACCGGUCGGGAACCGCGGGCGCCUAGCCCCCGCCCCGUGUGGGGACGGGC